CCAGAAAACAAAGUUAUUUCUCUCUGCCUGUCUAUCACAAAAGAGAAAAUGACUGUAAACCACCCUGAGUCCCAUCCGGGAGAUAGGGCACUAUAUAAAUAAAGUAUUAUUAUUAUUAUUAUUAUUAUUAUUAUUAUUAUUAUUAUUAUUGACACAACGACGUUGUAUGACACAGCAAACAAGAUAGACAUGCUGGAUUUCGUUUCACAAAAUCACAAGUCGAACACUUCCCAAGUGUCUAGGACUGUGUGAUGUAUUUUCGGAUGAUGCGUGCAGAUCCCAGUAAGGUGGCCUUUUGCAGUUGGCAGAUCGUAAUUUUGUCAAUGUCUAUUGUUUCCAAAUGCCGGCUGAGAUCUUUUGGCACGGCACCCAGUGUGCCCAUCACCACCGGGACCACCUGCACUGGUUUCUGCCAGAGUCUUUGAAGUUCAAUCGUGAGGUCCUGAUAGCGGCUGAGUUUUUCCUGUUGUUUUUCUUCAAUGCGACUGUCACCUGGGAUGGCAACAUCAAUGAUCCAAACCUUGUUCUUUUCCACAACUGUGAUGUCUGGUGUGUUGUGUUCCAGAACUUUGUCAGUCUGGAUUCGGAAGUCCCACAGUAUCUUUGCGUGUUCAUUUUCCACAACCUUUGCAGGUUUGUGAUCCCACCAGUUCUUAACUGCAGGGAGGUGAUACUUGAGGCAUAGGUUCCAAUGAAUCAUUUGGGCCACAUAGUUGUGCCUCUGUUUGUAGUCUGUCUGUGCAAUUUUCUUACAGCAGCUGAGGAUAUGAUCAAUGGCUAGAUGGCCUGAAAUACCCUUCCUCACUGGAAGAUUGUGCGAAUAAACGAAGUCCUUGUGUCAGAAAUGAAAAAGGGGAAGGCAAUGCACAACUGAUUCUGAGGAACGUUCAUGGAUUCUCUCACAUUGUGCCGGAGGGGAUCUUGCGGCCAGAACCGGAAGGAUGGUAAAACCAGUGGUUCAAAGCCCUGGAUCUUACGGGUUGGAAAGGAAACGAGAAGAGGAACCAAAACUGAAACUGUGGCCAUCUUACGCAAAGUGUGGUACGGCUUGAUUCCAAGUAAGCUGCUAAAGGAUUGAGCUGUCCAUUUCACAAGACCAAAGUAAGAGGUGGGCAUCUUGAAAUGCAGUAAAACCAGCUGUUUGUUGGAUUGAUUCAUCCAUAUCCUGAAACACAGAGAAAACCUUUCCCUCCUCUGUUGCUUUGGUGGUCUCCUUUCCAGAGGAUGGCCAACCACCUUCACCUCUUAGUUGGAUGCUCUUUGCUCUUUCUGAGGGACAUCGGGUGGGAGUUUGCCCUCCUGACUUCCUUUGCCAUCUUUAAAACAGUUGAUAAAAUUGGGUUGGAUUGUUUGCUGGGUCCCAUGAUGGAAAACUGAGACUCCAAAUUAAACAAUAACAACAAAAACCAAA